rnacentral:rRNA from 1 species
CAGUCGCCGCGGUAAUACCGAGGGUGCAAGCGUUAAUCGGAAUUACUGGGCGUAAAGCGCACGCAGGCGGUCUGACAAGUCAGAUGUGAAAUCCCCGGGCUUAACCUGGGAACUGCCUUUGUGACUGCAAGGCUAGAGUACGGCAGAGGGGGAUGGAAUUCCGCGUGUAGCAGUGAAAUGCGUAGAUAUGCGGAGGAACACCGAUGGCGAAGGCAAUCCCCUGGGCCUGUACUGACGCUCAUGCACGAAAGCGUGGGGAGCAAACAGGAUUAGAUACCCCUGUAGUCCCUGUCUCUUAUAC